AUUUAUGGAUAAUUUCAACAAAUUUAAUGAACCCAAUUUGGUUUUGAAAGCCUUUAUACAUUAUUAUUACAAAUUUCAUUGUUGACAGCCUGAGUUUCCAGUUAAUUUUAAAUGUAAUAUGUUUUAGCUAUAGUAUUUGAACACUGCAUGUACUUUCAUUAAUAUAUGUUGUACUACUUUUUUUUCAUUAGGUUGAAGCCAGUUUUGUUGCAGAAUAGCAAAUGUUUGGUACUGGUUGGAACUAUGAAAGUAAUACAGGUCUUAUGGUGGAUCAUCAUCCUUUAAAGAACAGCAGGUUAUUAGCAGCAGUUUUACAGAAAAAUGAAGGAUAUAAAUGGCUGUCAAUGGUAAAUGCAGCAUCAGAACGUUCCCCCGGCAAAUUUACUCUGAAAGUUUGGGAAAGUAUGAAUUAGAAAUUGGAGAGGCAAAGAGAUAACCAGAAAACACAGAAUUUAUAAGAGAAGAAUUGAAAUAAAAAGAAUAGAAAGAAGGUCCCAUGUAGUUCAAAUGUUAAAGAAGGAACAACAUAUGAAAUAGAAACUGAAGUAAACGACAAUGCUUUAGUGCUUGUGACAUUCAGCAAAUUCCUUCUCAUAUUCUUUAUAAUAUAUAUAUAUAUAUAUAGAUCAAUGUGUAAAAUUUGAUUUUCAAACAAGACGCCUUUCAAGAAAUAGUGACAUCACUCAGGUAGCAGCUGUCAGUGGAUCAAACCUAUUCCAGAGAUGUAAUAUGCCAAGAUGUGACAUUUUAAAUGAAGGGAGCAAAAUAACUGGUAUUUUCUUUUCGUAAUGCCACUAAUAGUAAUAUGAUAUAUCUGAAUGGGAGCAACCUGUACUAUUCAAUAUGGAUCGAAGGAUUGACAAUUUUGACAGGGAACAAAAUGAACUCUAAUUAUGCUAUGACUAUCAAUCAGUAUUUGACUGAAUCAGAGGAGUAAACUAUAUACAUAUUUUUAAAUAUAACAGUAUAUUUUGCUUAAUUAU